ACCUAACCGCUAUGUCUUGCGAAGGUUGAAGCCAGAAGAAACUCUGGUGGAUGACUGUAGCGAUUCUGACGUGCAAAUCUAUCGUGUAACGUGAGUAUAGGGGGCGAAAGACCAAUCGAAUCAUCUAGUAGCUGG
rnacentral:ncRNA from 1 species